UACGGAGGGUGCAGGCGUUAUCCGGAUUCACUGGGUUUAAAGGGUGCGUAGGUGGGCUGGUAAGUCAGUGGUGAAAUCUCCAGGCUUAACUUGGAAACUGCCAUUGAUACUAUCAGUCUUGAAUACCGUGGAGGUCAGCGGAAUAUGUCAUGUAGCGGUGAAAUGCUUAGAUAUGACAUAGAACACCAAUUGCGAAGGCAGCUGGCUACACAAAUAUUGACACUGAGGCACGAAAGCGUGGGGAUCAAACAGG
rnacentral:rRNA from 1 species